UUAAGGCAUGAUAAUUUAACAACUUGCAUAUUUGGAGGAUUUGAAGACUUUAACUUGCAGACUUGACAAAUUUGAAGACUUUAACU
rfam:Solanum tuberosum cultivar DM 1-3 516 R44 scf00340_42, whole genome shotgun sequence.